UUUCAUUGUACUAUUGGUCCAUACUACAUUAGAAGAAAGUUUCAAGAAUAUUUACAGCUAACUCUCUAGCUGAAAUGCCUGGUGGAUGAAAAGCUGGACGUGAGUCUGCAGUGUGCAUUCACAGCCUGGAAAACCAACUGAAUCCUGGACUGCAUCAAAUGAGGGGUGGCCUGCAGGGUGAGUGAAGGGAUCAUCCCUCUUUACUCUGCCACUGUCUUUGACCCAUCUGAAUUACUGUGUCAAGUUCUGGGGACAAAAAAGAUGUGGAGCUGUUGGAACAAGUCCAAAGAAGGACCAAAUGGUCAUAGAGCUGAAGCACCUGUCAUAUGAAGAAAAGUUGAGGGAGCUGGGUUCAUUUACCUCAGAGAAGAGAAGGCUCAGGGAAGACCUCACUGCAGACUCCCAGUAUUUAAAGAGAGCUUAUAAGCAGGAAGGAGACCAGCAUUUCACAUGGGAAAAAAACUGGCCACUGAAACUGCAUGUUCAUUUCCAGUCUGAGUGAAACAAGGAGAAAAAAUGACCCUGAAAUAGAAAACUGAUGAAUUGUUUUGUCACUUUUGCAUAGAAAAAUGUUACUCUUACAAACAUGAAUGUGUUAGAAACUGGCAUUAUUCAAUUUGUCUUGAUGAAAGUGCAAUUAUCAUAAGAGAUUUUGAAAUCUCUUUUAUUUCAUAUGACUGUUCUGUCUUCAUGUGGGUUUCCUUUAUAUCAUGG
ensembl:lncRNA